UCAUUUCUCGAGCACAGACAGAAACGCGCGCUCACGAGAACCUGCGCGCUCCCGUGAGUGAGGAGAAAGCGCUUCAGCUCCCGUCCAACUCACCGCUUCUCCAAACCUGUUGCCUUUUUCAUUUCUUUAUCAUCAUCAUCAUCAGCAGCAGCAGCAGCAUUAUUAUUAUUCCAGCCUGAGAGAAGGAGCGGAUCUAUGAGGUACUGAAUAACAAUUUUUUUUUUCUUCAUGAAAAUGUUUCAUUCGGAUUUAAAGCGUCGAAUUGAGAUGUUUCGCGCGACUUGAAGCAGAAUUCGGAGCGUUUCGGAGGUUUGGCUUGUGAUUAAUGAAGAGCAUCCGCCCUUCUGUGUACCUGAGUACCGGUAAAUCAUCGAGCAGAAGAAACACGGGAAUAAAAUGCGUGAGGAGGAAUAACAGAGGAGAAGAGGAAUAACAGAGGAGAGGAGGAGUAACAGAGGAGAAGAGGAAUAACAGAGGAGAGGAGGAAGAGGAGCGGAGGAAUAACUGAGGAGAGGAGGAAUAAAUGAAGAGAGGAGGAAUAACAGAGGAGAAGAGGAAUAACAGAGGAGAAGAGGAAUAACAGAGGAGAAGAGGAAGAGGAGCGGAGGAAUAACUGAGGAGAGGAGGAGUAACAGAGGAGAGGAGGAAUAAAUGAAGAGAGGAGGAAUAACAGAGGAGAGGAGGAAGAGGAGCGGAUAUCCUGUCUCCUGUUUGCUUUGAUGUUUCGGAGAAAACUAAUCCCAGGAACGGAAACGACACCAGCUACAGGAGUUUAUUAUCAGCGGAAUGAAAAGAAAACACACCACAAGUCGUGUUAUUUUCCAUUUUAAUACCACACACACACACACACACACAGGUUUAUGAAGGACUGAUAUAACACAGACUGAUCCCUGAAGCUGAUCUCACCUCAGGACUCGUGAAGAUCCAUGAUGUUUGAUGUUGGUAAUGAAUCAUGGGCUAAAAUCUUCAGAUAAAUCCACUUCAGUAAACAACUGUGGUUUUUUUUUAAUGGAAAUUUUGCCACUAAAAAUCAAGAACAAGACCACGAAGUUCUGUCUUUGGUUCUUUCUUUGCCAGCCGUCAUGUGAACUUCUCGUCUGCUUCUCUCCACACACACACACACCACAGUGAUAAAGACUACAGCUGAACUCCACAAACAUGCGUUUCCAUGGAUUCAUUGCUAAAUCCGAUUCCCAGAGUACGGAUUAAUCCGAAUCGUGAACUUCUUGUCCUCAUUGAUGGAGUUUCACCACUGAUAAACAUGACUCUCUUUUGAUUUCCAUUUUCUCAGUGGGGUUUCUUCCUGCUAUCUCUUCCCACGUUGAGCGGGUCUACAUGGCCGAUGAGCAUUCAGGGCCCGCAUGCUUCCAGCUAAAGAUGGUGACGUUCGGCUCGAGCCCUCCCAAAACUCCAUGAUGGCGAACCCGAAGAAGAUGGACCUGAUCAUCCCAUACUUCGCCGACGUACCGUGCGACAGUAAUGGCCAGCGCAUGUGGUGGGCCUUCCUCGCCUCGUCCAUGGUUACGUUCUUCGGCGGCCUCUUCAUCAUCCUGCUGUGGAGGACGGUCCGGUACCUGUGGACCGUCUGCUGCCACUGCAACACCAAAAAAAAGGAUGUUCAGCGGGUCAGCAGUGUGGAGAAGAAGGAAAGUACGGUGGUCAGUGAGGUGGGCUGGAUGACCUCGGUGAAAGACUGGGCCGGGGUCAUGAUCUCCGCACAGACACUCACCGGACGCGUGCUGGUGGUGCUGGUGUUCGUCCUCAGUAUCGGAGCGCUCGUCAUUUACUUCAUCGACUCCUCCAAUCCGAUCGAGUCGUGUCAACACUUUGAUAAAGACUUUACACUGCAGAUAGACAUGGCCUUCAACAUCUUCUUCCUGCUCUACUUCGGCCUGCGCUUCAUCGCGGCGAACGAUAAGCUGUGGUUCUGGUUGGAGGUGAACUCGGUGGUGGAUUUCUUCACCGUGCCGCCGGUGUUUGUGUCUGUGUAUCUGAACAGGAGCUGGCUGGGUCUGAGGUUUUUAAGAGCCUUACGACUGAUACAGUUCUCUGAAAUAUUACAGUUUUUAAAUAUCCUGAAAACUAGCAAUUCUAUAAAGUUGGUGAACUUGUGCUCGAUCUUUAUUAGCACAUGGCUAACCGCUGCAGGCUUCAUACACUUGGUGGAAAACUCAGGAGAUCCGUGGGAAAACUUCCAGAAUUUCCAGCAGCUGUCCUACUGGGAGUGUGUGUAUUUGCUCAUGGUGACGAUGUCCACUGUGGGUUACGGAGACGUGUGUGCUAAAACUACACUCGGACGCCUCUUCAUGGUCUUCUUCAUCCUCGGAGGACUGGCCAUGUUUGCCAGCUACGUCCCUGAAAUCAUAGAAUUAAUAGGAAACCGUAAGAAAUAUGGCGGUUCCUAUAGUGCAGUAAAUGGGAGAAAGCAUAUUGUGGUGUGCGGUCACAUCACUCUGGAAAGUGUUUCCAACUUCCUCAAAGACUUCCUUCACAAGGACAGGGAUGAUGUCAAUGUAGAAAUUGUUUUUCUCCAUAAUAUUUCCCCUAAUCUUGAGUUGGAAGCCUUAUUCAAGCGCCACUUCACUCAGGUAGAGUUCUACCAGGGCUCCGUCCUAAAUCCACACGAUCUGGCCCGAGUCAAGAUUGAAUCAGCAGACGCAUGUUUAAUUUUAGCCAAUAAAUACUGCGCAGACCCCGACGCUGAGGAUGCGUCCAACAUCAUGAGAGUGAUAUCUAUUAAAAACUACCAUCCAAAGAUCCGCAUCAUCACCCAGAUGCUUCAGUAUCACAAUAAGGCUCACUUGUUGAACAUCCCGAGCUGGAACUGGAAGGAAGGUGAUGAUGCGAUUUGUCUGGCAGAACUGAAGCUGGGAUUCAUCGCUCAGAGCUGCUUAGCGCAGGGGCUCUCCACCAUGCUGGCUAAUCUCUUCUCCAUGAGGUCAUACAUUAAGAUUGAAGAGGACACGUGGCAGAAGUAUUACCUGGAAGGAGUAGCUAAUGAAAUGUACACUGAGUAUCUGUCCAGUGCUUUUGUGGGUUUAUCGUUCCCCAUGGUGUGUGAGUUGUGUUAUGUGAAGCUGAAGCUCCUCCUGAUAGCCAUCGAGUAUAAAUCUGAUCAGAGAGAGAGCAGUACACUUAUUAACCCGGGCAAUCAUGUAAAGAUGCAGGAAGGAACACUGGGUUUCUUUAUCGCCAGCGAUGCCAAAGAAGUAAAGAGAGCUCUUUACUACUGCAAAGCUUGUCAUGAUGACAUCUCAGACCCCAAAAGGAUAAAGAAGUGCGGCUGCAAACGACCCAAGAAGGCGGGCAGCCGCCGAAUGCGCCUGGCGUGUUGUUUAGGUUGCGGCGAGGCUGAGCACGGCUGCUCGUGCACGUCUCGCAGCACUCGUAGUAACAUGGAGACUCCGCCAUGUGCCUUGCCUCUUUCUCCCACCUCUGUUAGUGAUAAGUCGGCCACUUUACGCUCCUCUAAAAGUAACUAUAACGGAUAUAUCAAAUCAACGAUGGACGCUCCGGCGGUGCAGCAAUCCGCUCUGUCACCUAAGAAAAAACAACGCAAUGGAGGAAUGAGAACUUCACCCAACUGCUCUCCAAAAACUAUACGGCACGACCCUGUGCUGAUCCCCAGCCAUGAUCAGAUGGAGACGAUGGACGAUAACGUGAAGAGGUACGACUCCACUGGAAUGUUCCACUGGUGUCCAGCCAAAGACAUUGAGAAGGUCAUACUGACCCGUAGCGAGGCAGCCAUGACGGUUCUAAGCGGUCACGUGGUAGUGUGUAUUUUCGGCGAUGUGAAGUCAGCCGUGGUGGGUCUGAGGAACCUGGUGAUGCCUCUACGAGCGAGUAACUUCCACUACCAUGAGCUGAAACACAUUGUGUUUGUGGGAUCACUGGAGUACUUGAAGAGGGAAUGGGAGACGUUACACAACUUCCCUAAAGUCUCCAUUUUACCUGGAACUCCUCUGAGCAGGGCGGAUCUGAGAGCCGUCAACAUUAACCUUUGUGACAUGUGUGUGAUCCUGUCAGCCAAUCAGAACAACAUCGAUGAUGCAUCUCUGCAGGAUAAAGAGUGUAUCCUCGCCUCGCUCAACAUCAAAUCCAUGCAGUUUGAUGACAGUAUAGGCCUUCUACAGGCCAACUCACAGGGUUUCACUCCCCCUGGGAUGGACCGCUCGUCUCCUGAAAACAGUCCUGUCCAUGGUCUGGAGCGACAAAGUUCCAUCAGUACGGGAGCUAACAUCCCCAUCAUCACUGAGCUCGCUAAGUCAGACAGGCUGCUGAACGCAGUGUGUGUGAGACAGGACAAGAGCUGCGGAACCAACAUCCCAAUGAUCACUGAACUGGUAAAUGACUCCAAUGUUCAGUUCCUGGAUCAGGAUGAUGAUGAUGAUCCGGACACUGAGCUCUACCUCACACAGCCCUUCGCCUGUGGAACCGCCUUCGCCGUCAGCGUGCUCGACUCACUGAUGAGUGCCACGUACUUUAACGACAAUAUUCUAACGUUAAUAAGGACGUUAGUGACGGGCGGGGCCACUCCCGAGCUCGAGGGUUUGUUAGCGGAGGAGAACGCACUGCGAGGUGGCUACAGCGACACACACACACUCGCCAACAGGGACCGGUGUCGAGUGGCACAGCUCGCCCUUUACGACGGGCCAUUCGCCCAGCUCGGGGAAGGUGGGUGUUAUGGCGAUUUAUUCUGUAAAGCGUUAAAGACCUACAACAUGCUGUGUUUCGGGAUUUACCGUUUACGAGACGCUCACCUGAGCGCUCCGAGUCAGUGCACCAAACGCUACGUGAUCACCAACCCUCCGUACGAGUUCGAGUUGGUCCCCACAGACCUGAUCUUCUGUUUAAUGCAGUUCGAUCACAACGCGGCUCAGUGCCGCUCCACGCUCUCACACUCCUCACACUCCUCACACUCGUCCAGUAAAAAAAGCUCAUCCGUGCACUCCAUCAGCACCAAACACACCAAGAGCCGAGAGCCACGAGACAAACCCAAGUACGUUCCCCUUUAACACACUCUCUCUCUCUCUCUCUCUCUCUCUCUGUCUAUCUGUCUCUCUUUAUCUGUCUUUCUCUCUGUAGUGUUGUUUCCAUCCAUCUGUUUGAAAUUUAAAUAUAGAAACAUCAGAAAUAACGCCUCAGUAUCACUCGUCUGAGGUUUCAGCUGGAAGUGUGAUCAAAACACUGUCUGGAGUAAACAAUUUAAUGUUUAAAACUGCAUACUACUGUUCUAAAUAGUGUCAUUUGCAUACCAUAUUUAAAUAUUUCUCUAAACAAGUCACUUAUUUAUCGAAUAAAUUGACCAUAAUAACUAUACUGCCUUUAAAACUACACAUCACCGCCUCCUACUGGUGAUGUUUAACUUUCUUUAAAUCCCGUUUUUGUCCUAAACGUCUCCGGAAAUAAACUGAAAAUAAUUUCAGGUGAAUUAGAAAAGCAAAAAGUGUCAUAUCUUAAUCUUAAGAAAGGAAAAAAAACAACAUAAGGACAGUAAAUAGAUCAUUUUUGGAUUUUCCUUUGACUAAAGUCCUGAGAACAUUGUUGCUAGGCAACUGGGAAAUAUGGACGCCAAGCACAAUUUGACUAAACAAUAAAGCUAACAAUGUAGCUAGCUGUGAUGUAGCUUUCAAGUCUUUUAUGCAGACACAGUCACCAUGGAAACGAAACAGAACAAUCCGAAACGUCAACAUUUACCUCAGAUGUGUUGUUAAAUUACUAAAAAUAAUCUUCCGUAUGCCUAAAAUUACUCUAUUUACAAUUAGCAUCAACUUAAACAUUAAACAAGCCUCUGUACUGAGAAACUGAGAAGUAUAGCUACAGGUGGUGGGUAGUUGUCAUGGUAACAAGGAAAGCCUUGUUGUGGCUACAUUUCUAAGCUGACUAUAUACCAAGGUUAGCGAUGUAGCUAGCUGUGAAGUAGCGGUUAAGUCUUUUACGCAGACACAGUGACCGUGGAAAUGAAACAGAACAAUCCGAAAUGUCAACAUUUACCUCAGAUGUGUUGUUAAAUUGCUAAAAAAAACUUCUGUAUGCCUAAAAUUACACUAUUUACAGUUAGCAUUGACGGCUAAAGAACCCUCUGUACUGAGAAAUGGUAGCAUGUUGUCAAGGUAACGGGGAAAGCCUUGUCAUGGCUAUUUAUAGCUUGAGUAGUAAAUCCUGUGAUCUUGUGAAGGCGGCAUACAGUUUUCACCUACUAUUUAGUGCAGGUGUGUGCGGUUUUGGACAUGGCUGUGUGUGCGCGCGCGCGCGCGCGCGCGUGUGUGUGUGUGUGUGUGUGUGUGUAUGGGGCGCUUUUUGAUGACAUCAUCAUGUUGCUUCUCUAAAGUAUAUUUAAUAUAACAGCAGUUGAUGGAAACACACAUCACCCUGGAAUAGAAUUUAUGACAUUUAUGACAUUGAAUGAAAUCAGUGCCUGUGUGAGGUGUUCUGUGUGUGUGCGUGUGAGUGUGUGUGUGUGUGAGUGUGAGUGUGUGUGUGAGUGUGUGUGUGAGUGUGUGUGUGAGUGUGUGUGUGUGUGUUCUUCAGUAUGGACGUGCCAUUUGCUUCUUCACAUCAGACUCAGUGUCACAUCACACACACCCAUGUUAAUGUUUCUGUUUGUUUUUGUUUUUUUUUAUGUUUGAGCCACAGUUUGUGUUAAAAGGGUUGUGUUUGUGUUAAAACCGUUUUGGUUGCUAUGGAAACAGAGAUCAUUUUGCACUGAAACUGCACUUUAAGCAUCUCAUAACGCCGCGACAUGGACGUGUUCAUGAACAUCCUCAUUAACUCACUGACGCGCCUUUUUCUGUCUUCAGCCGUGUCAUCUCAUCUUCAUUUCUUUCUAAAUGAACAUCUCACUCACGUCAGAGCGUUAAAUUAAAAUCCCACGGAUUUAUCGCGUACCUAAGGAAUAAAAACACGACACGGUGGUGCUGUGAAGUUGAUUAGUUUCCUCUAACAGCACAUCCCCAAGUGUUUUAUUCCUCUUACACCACAGCAACUUACCAUCAGUCAAAAUUUUUAUUUAUUAAAGAAUGACACGUCAUACUUUUUAUCUGUUUAUAGCUACAUUUAAUAUUGGUGAAAUGAGUUAGUUCCUGUUCUCGCUUACGUUAUAGCAGCUAUAAACAUUUCUUUCUCUCUCUUGAAGUUAAUAAGACAAAUAAACGCAGCUUGUUGUCUUUUGUUACCGACAAACCGCAAAGAAGCGUAAACUCCUCUGUCCUGAAGCCGUCGGAAAACUUAACGUUACAGCUUUACCUCUGACUGUUACAAAGCGCUGACACUGGAGACUCCUUCCAUAAACUUUACCAUGGCAAUGAUUACACGUGUUUUUUUUUUACACGUUUAUGUGGAGUGGCUGCGUGUUGUAGAAAAUUAACCAACACCUUUUUUGACCAAUCAGAAUCCAGAAUUCGACGGUGUUGUGGUGUAAAUGCUUUCUUUACAAUUGAUAAGUUUAUAAGUACAGUGUUUCUAAGUUCUGCUCCUUGUGUGUGUGUGUGUGUGUGUGUGUGUGUGUGUGUGAAAGACAAUAAACAGGAAGUAGUAAUACGUAAAAGCACAGCUUUAUACAUCAUGUUUAAAAGGAAACACACAGCUAUAGGGGGCGCUCUCACCAAUCAGCUGCGAGGUUCUGUUUACUCGACGUUGUGUAGAAAAACGUCUAAAUUAUUUCUUACGUAUUAAUUUCAGUAAUCUCAUACAUACGAUAAAAUCGUAAAUCAUCAAGUGUUCGUAAUGUGCGUCGUGUUACUGCUCAUUUAAAUACAGACACACCCAAAAUUAACCAUAUAUGGUAUAUAGGAUUUGCUUUGAAACGUAACUUUUCUAACAUUUUAUUAAUGCGAAGCAAAAAACGCAAAAGAAACUCUUUGCUGAAGUAGAGACUUUGAUUUUGAUCAUUUAAGUAAAGAGUUAUUAAGUUUCUGUGUUUGUAAUUUUUAAGAAAUUUAAUGAAUGACAAAUACGUCAUAAAAAUAGGCCCGUUCUCUGAAAACUCGCCCACAAAUAUUAUACUCUGAGCAUUUUAUGGGAUUUGAGCGUAAAGACAAACUUGUUUAUAUUUAACACUGAUUAGCUUCAUACGCAAUUUAGUGUACUAGCAUUCUACGUAAAGCUUACGUUACUCAUGACACUCAUGACUUUGUUUUUCACAGCUCCUGCAAAACAGACGUUAUUUCACACAUUCGUUGAUGAAUAAAGGCUGUGGAGCUUUCCAGGAUUUCACAAGUUCAUUUUGCUCUCAGAAAUGUCCCACCAAUCACGAGCCAGGAUUUAAGGGCGUGGCAGAGUGUAGUGUAUUUUAUUUAACUGUUAAUUAGGGACAAAUUCUUAUUUACAGAAAAGUGUAGGGAAGAAAAUUAUAACAUCAAACAUAGAAAUGUAUAAAUUAAGAAGGUACAUAUAUCAGUAAAAUGUCCUUAAUUUUAGAGUUUUUUUUAAAUAGAGAAACAAAUUCUGAAACUUUUAGGAAUAAAUCCAGCAGAUUGAUCAGACUUGAUGAAGAAACCUAAUGAUAGUUUAGAUUUAGGAAUGUUUAUCAAAUAUGGAGAGCAAGAACUUAGUGUUCUACUACACACACACACACACACACACACACACACACACACACACACACACACUGGAGGUAAUACAGUUAACAUUAUGUGCAAUUUGUAAAAAAAUCAGAGUUGGGAAUGUUUUUAAAACGUUUUUAUUCAUGAAAAUAAAUCACGAACUACAGUGGGCCGUAUACGGACUACGAAGCCUUUAAGGCUAUUUCUUACAGCUGUUAAAGUAACAUUUAUAGAAUAAUUAUGAACUUUAAUAAAACAAUUUCAGAACUUGAACUUAAACGCUGCAUUUGAGGGAAUAUUUCAAUCCAUUUUUUAAUAUUUAAUCCAUCAAGUAGCGUGAUAGCUUCACUCUCAUGCCUUGUCCUUGCCUCAUGUGGACACAGAGGUGGUGCGAUUACACACAACAAAACAAAAGCUUACGUGCUAAUUUAACCUGCCAGAAUUAAAGAAAUCCCCUUUUCAGUGCCAUGGAGAACUCAGCCAGGUGUGCCAAAACACUAAAAACGUCAAUAUUUAAUAGAAAAUAAUCACAGUGUGCUGCCAAUAUAAAAACAAACAGGCUACAUGCCUAACUGUCAGACUAAGAAACAGUCUGCUUUGAUGACGGGCUUCUGUUUUCUUUUUCUUUCAUUUGGCUAGCUGAAGUUUUCACGCUGAAGUAGAUUACUGGUGCGUGGUGACAUUCUGAAAAGCCGUGCAUGGAUUAAGGAGACUGGAAUCAGGAUCAUCACACGCUGUCGUCUCUACUGUGACGCGAGCCGGAGCGCUGAGAGUCCAUUUCUGAUUUCGUUGUUGUUCGUAUGAUCACGUUGCAGCGUUUUACUUAGCUAUAUUUUUAAAAAUAUAUUUGUUUUAGAUGUUUUACGUGGUCUAUUGGUGAAACAUCGCACCCAUGAUAUGAGGACAAGUGUGUAGGGAGUAGUGAUGUGUGUGUGUGUGUGUGUGUGUGUGUGUGUGAAGUGCUAAAGGAGCAGAAGUGACAGAACCACUGAACACUUUUACCGUGUUAACAUCCACAUUCACGUCGUUUCUCAUUUCCCCCUCACGUGAAGAACACGGCUUAAGUUUCACCACGUUCUUCUGCUCAUGAGACACCAGCAAGCUUUAAUCAGGAACUCUCAUCAGGAACUCUCAUCAGGAACUCUAAUCAGGAACUCUCAUCAGGAACUCUCAUCAGGAAGAGAGUGUAAAAUGUCUCCCUCAGUGACCCGACUCAGCUCAGCUCAGGGUGUGAACUGUGUUUUGUGUCACGUCUUUAACAGGAGCUCCUCUGAAAGCUCCUCUGAAAGAGCUCCUCCUGAACACAGUGAGAUGUUUAGCUAGCUGGGUUCUGGAGCGUGAGAACUGACUCGUGUCUGAUCUCUAAUCGUGAUUAGACCUCUAUUACAUUUCAACGUUUACUAUUAUAUCAGAAUGUUAUUAUAAUUAUCCGUAAAAAAAAAUCACAAUCUUCAUCUGUUUCCUUCACGAACUUCAAAAUAUUGGCCAUGAUGAGUGAAAACAGUCACAAGACCAAAAUAGAACUUCUGAUUGGUCUGACACUGUGUGUAAACCCUAAAGAACCCUUAAAGGUUUUAUGCAGCAAAGUGUUUUCUCUCAGACAGGGAACUAAGCAGAACCCUUUAACUAUCCAGAGAACCAUUCUGGAUCCUUCUGGACUGUGAACUGUAUGUAUAUAUAUAUGUAGUACACUCUUAAAUAUUCUGAACCUUUAAAGGUUCUUCAGUUGCUCCUCUGAGGGAACCCUUAAAGCUCCUAUGUUAAACCUUACAAUGAAGUCUUUUCACAGAAAGUGCUGCAAGUAGAACCAUAUUUCUGAAACUAAGAAUCCUUAAAGAACCACUGAAGAACCCUAUUUUUUGAAGACUGUAACAGGGUAGGUGUUAUUAACAGGGUAGGUCCAAAUUAUUCUUCAUUAAUUUUUUCUUAAGUCCUAGAACCUCUCUGAACUGUCUCGGUGCUUAAACGGUUCCGUGAAUAAUGAAAGGUUCUUAGCUUCUUAAAAGGAACGCUCUCAGAAAAACACUCAGCUGUAAUGAGUAAGGGUUCUUCAUUUUCUGAAACAGGUUCUAUUUGGAACCUUCAUUUGUAGGUAAACGGUUAGAGGGUUCUGUAUUAUUUAAGGGUUCUUUGGAUAGUUCAUUGGAUAGCUCUUUCUGAGAGUUCCUCAACUGCGCUGUUGUAGGGUUCUAUGUAGAAGCUUUUACCUGUUCUAUGUAGAACGCAAUAAGAGAACAGUCACAGGUUCUUGGUUCCUGUAAAGAGGAUUCUGUCUGAAAAGUCUUAACUGCUCUUUUUAUAGGGUUCUACAUAGAACCAGGGGGCCAAACAAAGAACCGUUAUGGGUUCUAGAUCAAUUUAUCAGCACCAUUUAGACAGUAAACAGAUUUUAUUCUGUUUAAACUGAAGAUGAAGAAGAAUUUAAUUUUUUAAUGAUUUAUAAUUUUUUUUUAAAAUGUUCCUAAUGUUGCCUGAUAAAGUGAGCGGUGUAUCACGAGCAUGAGAGUCACUGCCUCGUGAAAAGACCGUAAUUAUUUAAUCAAACAUUAAAUUAAAAUAAACUUAAUCAAACAUUAUUAUUUAAUGUCUCUGCGUGAGAACCGAUAUGAAACUCCAUUCCUGAGCCAUCAUGCAGCUUCGUGUCCACAGUCUGAACGUUCCUGAUGCUAGAACCCACUUUAUUCUGGUUAACGAGUGACUGAUGUUAAGGGUCUGAUAAUAAACACACACACACACACACACACACACACACACACGUUCUAGCUGAUAGAGUGUGCAGCGUAAGCAUCAGCGUUCUGUGUGAUUAGAGCUGAUUUAUCAUCAGAUCCUUUAGACCACACGUCAUUAAACUGAGCUGUUUAUGUUUUAACAGUUGCUGAGCGAAUGUGGACUGUGUCUAUGUGCACCGUGGAUGAGUUGAGGGGUCGCAGGACCAGUCCAACGCUGCUCUCAUUCCUCCAAUCAAAGGCAAGAGGAAGUGAAGUGAGGACCAAUCACAUCGCAGGAACCCUUUGGAGUUACAGAUUGUGCUGCUUUGAGUGUGAGAUCACUCAGUCAUAACUCGCAAUAAUGAAACAUCAUCGUUUCCAUUUAGCUACGAGAGUUAUUAAUUAGUCAUGCACCGAUUCUCAGGUUUUAUUUUUAACGCUAAACUGACACGGACGUCCUGUCAGUCACCAAAACGUCUCGUUUCGUUAUCAUAACGCAAACGCAGAAAAAUUCUCAGGCUUUCAUUGACCGUAUGUUCAGACGCUAACCUGACAAAGAGCUGUGUAAUUGUAAAAAAGGGGCGUGGCUAAUUAAAUUGCAGGGUGUUUUUGACCAUCUUAACAGACAGUAACCAAACAAAGUGUGGUGUAAUUGGAAAAAGGGGCGUGGUCAAUAAAUUCUUAAGAUUUUCUUGAAUGUAUGUGGAGACAGUAGUUAUAAAGUGCAACGUAAUUAUAAAAAGGGGCGUGGUUAAUUACAUUCUUUGUGUUUUCUUGACCAUGAUGAAGCGUGUAACCUGACAGAGCAGUGUAAUUGUAAAAAAAAGGGGCGUGGUCAAUAAAUUCUUAGAAUUUUCUUGACAAUCAUAAAGAGCGUAACUUUUUGAAGAGCAAUGUGAUUGUAAAAAGGGGCGUGGCUAAUUAAAUUCUUUGUGUUUUCUUGAAGCAUGUACCCUGACAAAGAGCUGUGUAAUUGUAAAAAGGGGCGUGGCUAAUUAAAAUGCAGGGUUUGCUUGACCAAAGUGAAGCGUGUAACCUGACAAAGUGUGGUGUAAUUAAGGGGCGUGGCUAAUUAAAUUCUUCGUGUUUUCUUGACCAUUGUGAAGCCUGACAAAGUGUGGUGUAAUUGAAAAAAGGGGCGUGGUCAAUAAAUUCUUAGGAUUUUCUUGACAAUCAUAAAGAGCAUAACUUAGUGAAGAGCAAUGUGAUUGUAAAAAAGGGGCGUGGCUAAUACAUUCUCAGGCUUUUAUUGACCGUACGUGCAGACAGUAACCCGAUACAGUGCGACGUAAGUGUAAAAAAGGGGCGUGGCUAAUUAAAUUCUUUGUGUUUUCUUGAUCAUCGUGAAGUGUAUAGCAUGACAAAGAGUGGUGUAACUGGAAAAAGGGGCAUGGUCAAUAAAUUAUUGGGAUUUUCUUGACAAUCAUAAAGAGCGCAACUUGGUGAAGAUCAAUGUGAUUGUAAAAAAGGGGCGUGGCUAAUAAAUUCUCAGACUUUUAUUGACCGUAUGUGCAGACAGUAACCCGAUACAGUGCGAGGUAAGUGUAAAAAGGGGCGUGGCUAAUUAAUUGCAGGGUUUUCUUGACCAUCUUCGCAGACAGUAACCUGCGAAGGAAAAAGGGGGCGUGGCUAAUCGUUUCAGUGAGCCUGUGUCCACUGGAGCCUCCUGUUCUUGUUCUGCCCCAAGGUUCGACGUGUUGUUCAUUCUGAGAUGUUUUUCUGUUCACCACGGUUGUAAAGAGUGAUUAUUUGAGUUAACGUAGCCUUGAUUCUUGGGGUUUUCUUAGCCAUUGGUGCCGACGUGAUGUAAUGGUAAAAAGGGGCGUGGCCAGGCGAGAUCCUGUAUGUGGAAGUGGCGUGACAUAAUGUAAAUAUUUAUGCAAGAAAUGAAACAGAAUUUUUACGACUGUGUUUGAAGGGAAAAUUUCAGAUCUCAAUAUCAGCCAAUAUUUUAAAACGUCUCACUUCCUGUCGCGCGGCUCCGCCCACCUCCGUCAAUUAUCUGAUAAAAAAUGAAUACUGGUUUAAUACUGACACUCGGUGCGUGGCUAAUUAUUAACGUUAAACUUCAUUCAGUGCUACGUGUUAAAGAUGAAUGUGUGUAUAAAGUGUAAAUAAGAGGCAGAGUGCUCAUUAGCAUCGAGCGCUUCAGGCUUCGCUAGCAUAUUUAUUUAUUUCAGACGUAAAAGACACAUUCUCAAAAUGUUAGCAUGUGAAUUAUUUUUCUGAAACUCGCCGAUCUGCAAAUGUGGAGAACACGUGAUGCCUUAAAUCCAAUAAAUACAAACAAAAAAAAAAACAAUUCUUAGAAAGCAAAUUUGCUAAAUAUCGAUGUUGCCUUAGCUCUGUGAUUUAAACGACUUUACACAUUUAUCUUUAACUUUAUUAACAUUUUUAAAUUAACUACCAAAAGCAUAGGCUGCUAGCUAGUUGGCUAACAUUUAGCUAGAUGGAAAUGUACCUAGUGUUACUCUUGCUAGCUAACAAAACAAUACUAGCGCCAGUGAACUUGUGUUUGUGUUUGAAGUUUUAAAAUGAUUAAUUGUUUUAUUUAAUGAGUUAUUUUCUGUUUACAGUUACAUGUAUUAGCUACACUAGUUUAGCUAACUGGAUGUUAGCAAUGUGCUAAUUUCUUAUUCGGUAAAAUACAGGAAUAAUUCAAGUUUACAUUUAAGUAUAAAAACUGAUCUACCGGCUAUGAGCUAGCUAGCUAAUGUUAGCUACAUGGAUAAAUGGCUACGCUUGGUAGCUAAGAGCAAGAUAACCUUAUGAACGUUUUUUUUUCUUAAAAUAUAUAUA